GAUGAACGCUGGCGGCGUGCUUAACACAUGCAAGUCGAACGAUGAAGCCCAGCUUGCUGGGUGGAUUAGUGGCGAACGGGUGAGUAACACGUGAGUAACCUGCCCUUAACUCUGGGAUAAGCCUGGGAAACUGGGCCUAAUACCGGAUAGGAGCGUCCACCGCAUGGUGGGUGCUGGAAAGAUUUAUCGGUUUUGGAUGGACACGCGGCCUAUCCGCUUGUUGGUGAGGGAAUGGUUCACCAAGGCGACGACGGGUAGCCGGCCUGGGAGGGUGACCGGCCACACUAGGACUGAGGCACGGCGCAGACUCGUACGGGAGGCAGCAGUGGGAAGUAUUGCACAGUGGGCGCAAGCCUGAUGCGGCGGCGCCGCGUGAGGGAUGACGGCCUUCGGGUUGUAAACCUCUUUCAGUAGGGAAGAAGCGGAAGUGACGGUACCUGCAGAAGAAGCACCGGCUAACUACGUG
rnacentral:rRNA from 1 species